AAGAGUAUACAAAUUAUUGUAGAGUCAACGAGAGAUUGCGUUUUCGACGUUGUUUCGUUGUCAGAUAUCAAAGUAAUGUGUGCGAGAGGGCACACAAUAUUAUUUUGCAUGUAACUAACUGGCAGAUGUCAAAAACGCAAUCUCACGUUGGCUCAACAAUAAAUAUAACUAUACC